rnacentral:rRNA from 1 species
UACAGGGGGGGCAAGCGUUGUUCGGAAUUACUGGGCGUAAAGCGUGCGCAGGCGGUUUGCUAAGACCGAUGUGAAAUCCCCGGGCUUAACCUGGGAACUGCAUUGGUGACUGGCAGGCUAGAGUAUGGCAGAGGGGGGUAGAAUUCCACGUGUAGCAGUGAAAUGCGUAGAGAUGUGGAGGAAUACCGAUGGCGAAGGCAGCCCCCUGGGCCAAUACUGACGCUCAUGCACGAAAGCGUGGGGAGCAAACAGG